rnacentral:rRNA from 1 species
UCGUGCGAGAAAGUAUCUUCGGAUAUGAGUAGAGCGGCGGACGGGUGAGUAACGCGUAGGAAUCUACCUAGUAGAAGGGGAUAGCCCGAGAAAACUCGGAUUAAUACCGUAUACCUCCUUCGGGAGAAAGAAGGCCUCUCUUUGAAGCUUUCGCUACUAGAUGAGCCUGCGUAAGAUUAGCUUGUUGGUGAGGUAAAGGCUCACCAAGGCUACGAUCUUUAGCGGGUCUGAGAGGACGAUCCGCCACAUUGGGACUGAGACACGGCCCAGACUCCUACGGGAGGCAGCAGUGGGGAAUAUUGGACAAUGGGCGAAAGCCUGAUCCAGCCAUACCGCGUGUGUGAAGAAGGCCCUAGGGUUGUAAAGCACUUUAAGUUGGGAAGAAAAGUUAUUGGUUAAUACCCAAUGACCGUGACAUUACCAUCAGAAUAAGGACCGGCUAAUUCCGUGCCAGCAGCCGCGGUAAUACGGAAGGUCCAAGCGUUAAUCGGAAUUACUGGGCGUAAAGCGCGCGUAGGUGGUUUAUUAAGUUGGGUGUGAAAUCCCCGGGCUCAACCUGGGAACUGCAUCCAAAACUGAUUCACUAGAGUACGAUAGAGGGAGGUAGAAUUCACAGUGUAGCGGUGGAAUGCGUAGAUAUUGUGAAGAAUACCAAUGGCGAAGGCAGCCUCCUGGAUCUGUACUGACACUGAGGUGCGAAAGCGUGGGUAGCGAACAGGAUUAGAUACCCUGGUAGUCCACGCCGUAAACGAUGUCAACUAUCUGUUGGAAAGCAUUGCUUUUCAGUGGAGCAGCUAACGUAAUAAGUUGACCGCUG